UUCCCCAGUGCUCUUUUACAUAGCUGACAC
rnacentral:piRNA from 1 species